CUAUCUGGAGCUUCCCUUCCAUGAAUGGGAUGAAACAAAGAAAAGAAAGCUGUAGCAGGCAGCAAAGAAUGAGGACACAAUGAGGCAAUCCUUCCACAGGGCAUGACAACAAAUCUGGGAGUGAGCAGCUCAUUGGAGAUCUUCCCUCCCUGUGGAGCUGAAGCUGGCAAGGGGUUUAAGGCUCCAGAAGCCAGGUCGGAAACCACCAGAAGGCAGGUUGGAAAAUACCCUGCCGCUAAUUGGAAGCCGCAAGAGGCAGGAAGGGAGCCCAGGGUUUGCAGCCUGGAUCCUGACCCCUUCCUGCUGACUUGGACACCCCUGACUGAGCCCACCCAUCCCAAAAGCUGCUGGGCCCUGGGGACACCAACCCGACAGCCAUGGCUUGAAGUAGGAUGAGGAUGCUCCAUGCUCACCUCCAUGGGCAGGACAUGACCAGAGGGAGCCAAGAAUGGCUUGAAGAGAUACUUUCUGGUGGGUAGGAGCUCAUGGUGUGGCCACCACCAGAGACAAAGCUUUCCUUUGGUGCUGCCUGGAAUUUUCACAGAACCCAGGCAUGGUGGAGUUCACUCAGGAGCUCACUCAGUCCAACCCAGCUGCUAAUGCAGGGGCACCACAGCAGCUCACCCAUCAUCACAGUGGCCAGGUGGGU